CCUACGGGAGGCAGCAGUGGGGAAUCUUGCGCAAUGGGCGAAAGCCUGACGCAGCAACGCCGCGUGCGGGAAGAAGGCCCUAGGGUUGUAAACCGCCUUCAGUAGGAACGAAAAUGACGGUACCUGCAGAAGAAGGUGCGGCCAACUACGUGCCAGCAGCCGCGGUGACACGUAGGCACCAAGCGUUGUCCGGAUUUAUUGGGCGUAAAGAGCUCGUAGGCGGUUCAGUAAGUCGGGUGUGAAAACUCUGGGCUUAACCCAGAGCCGCCACUCGAUACUGCUGUGACUUGAGUUCGGUAGGGGAGCAGGGAAUUCCUAGUGUAGCGGUGAAAUGCGCAGAUAUUAGGAGGAACACCGGUGGCGAAGGCGCUGCUCUGGGCCGAUACUGACGCUGAGGAGCGAAAGCGUGGGUAGCAAACAGGAUUAGAUACCCUGGUAGUCCACGCCGUAAACGUUGGGCACUAGGUGUGGGUUCCAACCAACGGAAUCCGCGCCGUCGCUAACGCAUUAAGUGCCCCGCCUGGGGAGUACGGCGGCAACGCUAAAACUCAAAGGAAUUGACGG
rnacentral:rRNA from 1 species